rnacentral:rRNA from 1 species
UGGGGAAUAUUGCACAAUGGACGAAAGUCUGAUGGAGCAACGCCGCGUGAGYGAUGAAGGCCUUCGGGUCGUAAAGCUCUGUUGUCAGGGAAGAACAAGUACCGGAGUAACUGCCGGUACCUUGACGGUACCUGACCAGAAAGCCACGGCAAACUACAUGCCAGCAGCCGCGGUAAU